rnacentral:rRNA from 1 species
GAGUUUGAUCAUGGCUCAGGAUAGAACGCUGGCGGCGUGCUUAACACAUGCAAGUCGAACGAAGCGCCUUAUUUGAUUUUCUUCGGAACUGAAGAUUUGGUGACUGAGUGGCGGACGGGUGAGUAACGCGUGGGUAACCUGCCCCUGUACAGGGGGGAUAACAAUCAGAAAUGACUGCUAAUACCGCAUAAGACCACAGCACCGCAUGGUGCAGGGGUAAAAACUCCGGUGGUACAGGAUGGACCCGCGUCUGAUUAGCUGGUUGGUGAGGUAACGGCUCACCAAGGCGACGAUCAGUAGCCGGCUUGAGAGAGUGAACGGCC